GUAGGUGGCAAGCGUUGUCCGGAAUUAUUGGGCGUAAAGCGCGCGCAGGCGGUUCUUUAAGUCUGAUGUGAAAGCCCACGGCUCAACCGUGGAGGGUCAUUGGAAACUGGAGAACUUGAGUACAGAGAGGAAAGCGGAAUUCCACGUGUAGCGGUGAAAUGCGUAGAGAUGUGGAGGAACACCAGUGGCGAAGGCGGCUUUCUGGUCUGUAAACUGACGCUGAGGCGCGAAAGCGUGGGGGGAGCAAACAGGAUUAGAUACCCUGGUAGUCCACGCCGUAAACGAUGAGUGCUAAGUGUUAGGGGGGUUUUCCCGCCCCUUAGUGCUGCAGCUAACGCAUUAAGCACUCCGCCUGGGAGUACGGCCGCAAGGCUG
rnacentral:rRNA from 1 species